GUGAAUCAUCGAAUUUUUGAACGCAAAUUGCACUUUCAGGUAUUCCGGGGGGUAUGCCUGUUUGAGGGUCAUUUAAAUUAAAAUCGGUGUUGUGGCUAUGCGGAAUGGUGUGUGAUGCAUCGGAAUUGAGUCGUGCUUGAGUUUUGGUUUAAGUAACUGAAAAUUAUGUUCGAUUUUUGAAGGUAUUUAAAUUAUUACGUACG
rnacentral:misc_RNA from 1 species